GACGAACGCUGGCGGCGUGCCUAAUACAUGCAAGUCGAACGAACCGCGACUAAGUGCUUGCACUAAGUCAAGGUGAGUGGCGAACGGGUGAGUAACACGUGGGUAACCUACCUCAUAGUGGGGGAUAACAGUCGGAAACGACUGCUAAUACCGCAUAGGACAUAGGAUCACAUGAUCCAGUGAGGAAAGGUGGCGCAAGCUAUCGCUAAGAGAUGGACCCGCGGUGCAUUAGCUAGUUGGUAGGGUAAAGGCCUACCAAGGCGAUGAUGCAUAGCCGACCUGAGAGGGUGAUCGGCCACAUGGGGACUGAGACACGGCCCAAACUCCGACGGGAGGCAGCAGUAGGGAAUCUUCCGCAAUGGACGCAAGUCUGACGGAGCAACGCCGCGUGAGUGAAGAAGGUCUUCGGAUCGUAAAGCUCUGUUGUUAGAGAAGAACAGCGCAUAGAGUAACUGCUAUGCGUGUGACGGUAUCUAAACAGAAAGCCACGGCUAACUACGUG
rnacentral:rRNA from 1 species